GAUGAACGCUGGCGGCGUGCUUAACACAUGCAAGUCGAACGGUGAAGGCGGAGCUUGCUCUGCUGGAUCAGUGGCGAACGGGUGAGUAACACGUGAGCAAUCUGCCCCUGACUCUGGGAUAAGCGCUGGAAACGGCGUCUAAUACUGGAUACGAGCUGCGAAGGCAUCUUCAGCAGCUGGAAAGAAUUUCGGUCAGGGAUGAGCUCGCGGCCUAUCAGCUUGUUGGUGAGGUAAUGGCUCACCAAGGCGUCGACGGGUAGCCGGCCUGAGAGGGUGACUGGCCACACUGGGACUGAGACACGGCCCAGACUCCUACGGGAGGCGGCAGUGGGGAAUAUUGCACAAUGGGCGAAAGCCUGAUGCAGCAACGCCGCGUGAGGGACGACGGCCUUCGGGUUGUAAACCUCUUUUAGCAGGGAAGAAGCGAAAGUGACGGUACCUGCAGAAAAAGCGCCGGCUAACUACGUG
rnacentral:rRNA from 1 species